rnacentral:rRNA from 1 species
AAGGGUUUGAUCCUGGCUCAGAAUGAACGCUUGCGAUGGGCCUAACACAUGCAAGUCGAACGUGUGUUUGUUUUAUUUCUUGUCUUGUUUUUUUACUUUUUCUUUUUUACAAAGUAAAAAAACAAGACAAGAAAUAAAACAAACACAAGUGGCAAACGGGUGAGUAAAGCGCGAGAACUUACCUGUCAGUCCGACCCAAGGUUUCUUCUGCUUUUUGUUUUUUUUUUUUUUAAGAAACGAAAAGCAAAAGGCUGAAUGGCGGAUAGUUUUUCAACUCUCUCUUCUAGUCUAUUUCUUUUUAACCCACAAAACAUUGAUGCCUACGGCAUUGUUGGUGCAGGCCAUUGGAAUUGUUUCUUUCUCCUCCUCUUUUUGCUCUACUCCAUUGAAAGAAGAAUAAAAAAGAAAAAACAAGAAAAAGAGAUAGCAGAGAGAGCGACAAGAGAAUCAAAAAAGAUUUUUGCUGGCAGAUGGGCUCGGGUGGGAUCAGGUAGUUGGUGAGGUAAAAGCUACACCAAGCCUAUGACCCCUAGCUGGUCUGAAAGGACGAUCAGCCACACCGGGACUGAGACACGGCCCGGACACCUACGGGUGGCAGCAGUGGGGAAUCUUGGGCAAUGGG